AGAUCAGACUCACAUGUGUCCAGAUCUGUGUCUGUGAAGAGUGACUGGUCAAAGGAUAAUCCACCAUACUUCAGUGAAGAAACAACAUCACGAACCAAACGGUUUCAGUAUGAAACAUUAGAUCCAGAUUUACAGUCUCACAGGAAACACAAAAAUUUUACAGACAGUCUCCUGCAGAUCUUCCAGGAUCUUGAGAGCAAAAUAAUGAAAUAUCUAAAGAUAGA